UACGUAGGGUGCGAGCGUUGUCCGGAUUUAUUGGGCGUAAAGAGCUCGUAGGCGGCUCGUCGCGUCGACCGUGAAAACCCGCGGCUUAACUGCGGGCUUGCGGUUGAUACGGGCGGGCUAGAGUUCGGUAGGGGAGACUGGAAUUCCUGGUGUAGCGGUGAAAUGCGUAGAUAUCGGGAGGAACACCAGUGGCGAAGGCGGCAUCCUGGCCUGUAACUGACGCUGAGACGCGAAAGCGUGGGGAGCGAACCGG
rnacentral:rRNA from 1 species